rnacentral:rRNA from 1 species
GUUGACCUCGGAUCAGGUAGGACUACCCGCUGAACUUUAGCAUAUCAAUAAGCGGAGGAAAAGAAACCAACAGGGAUUGCCCCAGUAACGGCGAGUGAAGAGGCAACAGCUCAGAUUUGGAAUCUGGUCCCCAGGGCCCGAGUUGUAAUCUGGAGAGGAUGCUUCUGGGGCGGAGCCUUCCGAGUUCCCUGGAACGGGACGCCGGAGAGGGUGAGAGCCCCGUACGGUUGGACGCCUAACCCUUGUGAAGCUCCUUCGACGAGUCGAGUAAAUUGGGAAUGCUGCUCAAAAUGGGAGGUAAAUUUCUUCUAAAG